rnacentral:rRNA from 1 species
AGAUUGAACGCUGGUCGGCGUGCCUAACACAUGCAAGUCGAGCGGUAACGAGGUGUAGCAAUACAUGCUGACGAGACGGCGAACGGGGUGAGUAAUGCUUCGGAAUCUACCCACGGGUGGGGAAUAACCAACCGAAAGGUUGGCUAAUACCGCAUAAGUCCUACGGGGGAAAGCGGGGGAUCGAAAGACCUCGCGCCGGUGGAUGAGCCGAAGCCGGAUUAGCUAGUUGGUAGGGUAAUGGCCUACCAAGGCGACGAUCCGUAGCUGGUCNGAGAGGACGACCAGGCCACGACUGGGACUGAGACACGGCCCAGACUCCUACGGGAGGCAGC